rnacentral:rRNA from 1 species
AGCAGCCGCGGUAAUUCCAGCUCCAAUAGCGUAUAUUAAAGUUGUUGCAGUUAAAAAGCUCGUAGUUGAACUUCGGGGUUUACCCAUUGGUCAGGCUUAAUUGUCUGUACUGGUGAGAUAAAUCUCUACCUUCUGAGGAACUUUCAUGCCAUUUAUUUGGUGUGAUUGGAAAUCAGGACUAUUACUUUGAAAAAUUAGAGUGUUUAAAGCAGGCUAAAGUCUGAAUACAUUAGCAUGGAAUAAUGAAAUAGGACGGAUUUGAUUCUAUUUCGUUGGUUUCUAGGAUCACCGUAAUGAUUAAUAGGGAUAGUUGGGGGCAUUAGUAUUCAAUUGUCAGAGGUGAAAUUCUUGGAUUUAUUGAAGACUAACUACUGCGAAAGCAUUUGCCAAGGAUGUUUUCAUUAAUCAAGAACGAAAGUUAGGGGAUCGAAGACGAUCAGAUACCGUGUA